UACGAAGGGGGCUAGCGUUGCUCGGAAUUACUGGGCGUAAAGCGCACGUAGGCGGCUUUCUAAGUCGGGGGUGAAAUCCUGGAGCUCAACUCCAGAACUGCCCUCGAAACUGGCGAUCUUGAGUUCGGGAGAGGUGAGUGGAACUGCGAGUGUAGAGGUGAAAUUCGUAGAUAUUCGCAAGAACACCAGUGGCGAAGGCGGCUCACUGGCCCGAUACUGACGCUGAGGUGCGAAAGCGUGGGGAGCAAACAGG
rnacentral:rRNA from 1 species